CGAACGGGUGAGUAACACGUGGGCAACCUGGCCCAAAANAGGGGGAUAACACUUGGAAACAGGUGCUAAUACCGCAUAACCAUAGUUACCGCAUGGUAACUAUGUAAAAGGUGGCUAUGCUACCGCUUUUGGAUGGGCCCGCGGCGCAUUAGCUAGUUGGUGGGGUAAAGGCUUACCAAGGCAAUGAUGCGUAGCCGAACUGAGAGGUUGAUCGGCCACAUUGGGACUGAGACACGGCCCAAACUCCUACGGAAGGCAGCAG
rnacentral:rRNA from 1 species